rnacentral:rRNA from 1 species
GGUUCAUUCAAAUUUCUGCCCUAUCAACUUUCGAUGGGUGGCUUGUGGCCUGCCGUGGUGACAACGGGUAACGGAGGGUUAGGGCUCGACCCGGAGAAGGAGCCUGAGAAACGGCUACUACAUCCAAGGAAGGCAGCAGGCGCGCAAAUUACCCAAUCCCGACCGGGGAGGUAGUGACAAUAAAUACUGAUACAGGGNCUUUUUGGGUCUUGUAAUCGGAAUGAGUACAAUUUAAAUCCCCUAACGAGGAACAAUUGGAGGGCAAGUCUGGUGCCAGCAGCCGCGGUAAUUCCAGCUCCAAUAGCGUAUAUUAAAGUUGUUGAGGUUAAAAAGCUCGUAGUUG